AGAGCCGGCCAGGCAAUCGCUGUCACGCGGGAUUCCCCGGGUGGCAGAGGAAAGUCCGGGCUCGGCGGGUCGAGGUGCCAGGUAACGCCUGGGGGGCGCGAGCCCACGGAAAGUGCAACAGAAAGUAAACCGCCGAAGUGCCGGAAACGGCGCUGGCAAGGGUGAAAUGGUGCGGUAAGAGCGCACCGCGCUGGUGGCAACAUCAGUGGCACGGCAAACCCCACCUGGAGCAAGGCCAAAUAGGGAAGUCGCGGUGGCGACACCGCAGCGCCGGACCUGCGCGUGCUUCCGGGUAGGCCGCUUGAGGCGUGCGGCGACGCACGUCCCAGAGGAAUGAUUGCCCACGACAGAACCCGGCUUAUCGGCCGGCUCUCCUU
rnacentral:RNase_P_RNA from 1 species